AUCCAACUGAUGAGUUUCAAAUAGAACGAAACGAGCAUUCUGGAU
rnacentral:hammerhead_ribozyme from 1 species